rnacentral:lncRNA from 1 species
UGUCCGCUUUCUGCAGAGUGAGUGAGCUUACAUGAAAUAUUCCACCAAAGCGUGGAUGGAUUUGAUUUGACAAGACGGUGUCCAGGUGUUAAGAUGGAGAGACAGAAAGGGAGCUGGUCCCAGAGCAGAAACAAUUGGUGAUGAGAUUUGGACUUCAGACAAGCCUAGAUUUGAACCUCACUUCUGCUACAUAUCAGCCAUCUGGCCAUCUGACUUCAUCUCUCUGAGCCCGUUCCCUCAUCUGAAAAACAAAUAUUGAUGCCUAAGG